CCUACGGGAGGCAGCAGUGGGGAAUAUUGCGCAAUGGGCGAAAGCCUGACGCAGCGACGCCGCGUGAGGGAUGAAGGUCUUCGGAUCGUAAACCUCUGUCAGCAGGGAAGAACGGUCACUGUGCUAAUCAGCAGUGAAUUGACGGUACCUGCAAAGGAAGCACCGGCUAACUCCGUGCCAGCAGCCGCGGUAAUACGGAGGGUGCGAGCGUUAAUCGGAUUUACUGGGCGUAAAGCGCUCGUAGGCGGUAUGUCAAGUCAAGGGUGAAAUCCCCGCGCUCAACGUGGGAACUGCCUUUGAAACUGGCAACCUGGAGUGUGUGAGAGGAUAGUGGAAUUCCAGGUGUACGCGUGAAAUCCGUAGAUAUCUGGAGGACCAUCAGUGGCGAAGGCGACUCUCUGGCUCAUCACUGACGCUGAGGCGCGAAAGCGUGGGUAGCACACAGGAUUAGAUACCCGAGUAGUC
rnacentral:rRNA from 1 species